rnacentral:piRNA from 1 species
GAGGAAUGGAGUAGUGUGC